rnacentral:lncRNA from 1 species
GAUUCAACCUGAGUUCACGAGUUUAGGUAUUGUAUAAGAAAAUCACAAUACCUUGCAGCAAUUGAAUACUGAGGAAUUCAAUCUUUCCAAAGAAUUAUUGAAUUGGACUAUCACAUUUUAAUUAAAACCAAGGUUAGGCAGCUGAUCAGUUCCGCACUAACCCCGAGCAGGCCCCGCCAUGCUCUAUCACUGGAUCCAAGGCACUCAUUGGCCUAACAUGACCACGAAUCUGGUCCACAGGUUUAUAUAAAAACAAUAAUCCAAUUCUCUAAUUCAAUUCAAGAAGCCAAUGUAAAUUAACAGAACAUCAUCAUAAAUAUCAUCAACAACAGAAUAAUUCCAAUUCAAACUUUGAUAAUAAUCUAUUCAUAAAUCAUGAUCCUUCAUUUCAUAAAUCACAGUUCAGGAAAUCCUCAACUAUUCAGUAUCCUCCAUUAUCGGCUAAGCAACUGAAUUUAGCCUGCUAAACCAGCAUGACAAUGGCGGGUUGAAUAAUCAAGAAGAUCCCAAUUCAUUCUAGGCUCUAACUAUCACUGAGCAACACAUGCUUCAAUGACAAUCUGAACUUCGAAUUAAUUUGUAAAACGGAAAUUCUUUAGAAACUUGAAGAUUAGAAAGAAUGGGUCAGAAUACUCGCACUUUCGAACAUUGAAAAGAAAGGUAUGAAUACUUGAAACAUAUACCAAAGGAAUGGAUCAGAAUAUUUGCAAUAUAUCCAAGAGAA